rnacentral:tRNA from 1 species
GGAUAAAGUCAAGUAUUUUUUUUUUAUGGAAAAAAAAAUCAAUAAUUCUGGUUAUCCA